rnacentral:rRNA from 1 species
GACGGAGGAUGCAAGCGUUAUCCGGAAUGAUUGGGCGUAAAGCGUCCGCAGGUGGCAGUUCAAGUCUGCUGUCAAAGACCGGGGCUUAACUUCGGAAAGGCAGUGGAAACUGAGCAGCUAGAGUAUGGUAGGGGCAGAGGGAAUUCCUGGUGUAGCGGUGAAAUGCGUAGAGAUCAGGAAGAACAUCGGUGGCGAAGGCGCUCUGCUGGACGGUAUCUGACACUGAGGGACGAAAGCUAGGGGAGCGAAUGGG